AUUGCUGGUUACAAUGCGGUUUUAGAUUGUAUCAAUGAUGUCCAGUUACCAAAUGCUAUUGAUGCAUCUAGUAUCUCGGGAGAGGCCCCAAGCCCUUAACCCAGGACCUUGCUUAAGCUGGCUAGCACUGACAUCACUACUCAUCGCCAUAACCUGGAAUGAAGACAAACACAGGACACACAGGAAACUGCCAACAAAUUCCAUGCAGAGAGCUAAGUCCACUCUUACAACAAUGGGUAAGAGAGAAGAUAAGCCUUUAAAUAAAGAUGUUCUGGAAGCUCUAUCUGGCACUUUGUCCUGCACAAAGUAAGAACUCAACACAUAUUUACUGAGUUAAACCAAGAGAGUUCAGCAGGCCAAGUGUCUUAGGCUUCCUGAUCAAUUACUUUUGAUAUCACCAAACUAGAGACCCAUUUGUUGGUGGCAAGAGACUUUUACUGUUUCUGAGCUAAAGUACUGAUUUCAACACAGAAGUUCAUGCGAUCAAAGAAUUAAAGUGUCUUUGGCUUAAUCAUGAGUUCACUUUUUUGCAUUUAGCCAUAUUUCCUAUAGAAACUCAAAUGCCA
rnacentral:lncRNA from 1 species